GGAGGUGACUGUGGCUCAGUGGAAAGAGCAAUCGUCUUGAACUAUGAAAGUUGUGGGUUUGAUUCCUGCUUCCUCCU